AGAUAGCAUAUCAAUAAGCGGAGGAAAAGAAACCAACAGGGAUUGCCCUAGUAACGGCGAGUGAAGCGGCAAGAGCUCAAAUUUGAAAUCUGGCUCCUUUGGAGUCCGAGUUGUAAUUUGUAGAGGGUGCUUUGGUGUCGGCUAUGGCCUAAGUUCCUUGGAACAGGACGUCACAGAGGGUGAGAACCCCGUAUGUGGCUGCUAGCCUUCACCAUGUAAAGCCCCUUCGACGAGUCGAGUUGUUUGGGAAUGCAGCUCUAAAUGGGAGGUAAAUUUCUUCUAAAGCUAAAUAUUGGCCAGAGACCGAUAGCGCACAAGUAGAGUGAUCGAAAGAUGAAAAGCACUUUGGAAAGAGAGUCAAAAAGCACGUGAAAUUGUUGAAAGGGAAGCGCUUGCAGCCAGACUUGCUCGUAGUUGCUCAUCCGAGCUUUUGCUCGGUGCACUCUUCUGCGAGCAGGCCAGCAUCAGUCCGGGCGGUUGGAUAAAGGCUCUGGGAAUGUAGCUCUCUUCGGGGAGUGUUAUAGCCCAGGGUGUCAUGCAACCAGUCUGGACUGAGGUCCGCGCAUCUGCUAGGAUGCUGGCGUAAUGGCUGUAAGCGGCCCGUCUUGAAACACGGACCAAGGAGUCUAACAUCUAUGCGAGUGUUUGGGUGUCAAGCCCGGGCGCGCAAUGAAAGUGAACGGAGGUGGGAACCCUUCGGGGCGCACCAUCGACCGAUCCUGAUGUCUUCGGAUGGAUUUGAGUAAGAGCAUAGCUGUUGGGACCCGAAAGAUGGUGAACUAUGCCUGAAUAGGGUGAAGCCAGAGGAAACUCUGGUGGAGGCUCGCAGCGGUUCUGACGUGCAAAUCGAUCGUCAAAUUUGGGCAUAGGGGCGAAAGACUAAUCGAACUAUCUAUUCCCC
rnacentral:rRNA from 1 species